UACAGGCAUGCGCCACCAUGCCCAGCUAAUUUUUCUGUUUUUAGUAGAGACGGGGUUUCACCAUGUUGGCCAGGCUGGUUUCAGUCUCUUGAUGUCAUGAUCCAUCCAUCAUGGCCUCCCAGAGUGCUGGGAUUACAGGUGUGAGCCACCCUGCCUGGCCCAUUCAGUCAUU